rnacentral:tRNA from 1 species
GCCAAUGUAGUAUAGUGGUUUGAGUGUUGAACUGCAACUCUGGAGACCAGGGUUCAAAUCCCAGGUUGGUCA